CAGCACACUACAUUCAAGCUAAAUGAAAUCACAGCUCAGAGAGAUGCCAGAGCCCCUGGCAGCAUGGGCUCCAACGGAUUCUACAAGUUCCAGGUGAUUCUGUUCCAAAGUGGGUUUUCUUUGAGCUCCUUCCAGCUUUCUCUGGGAACAGCUGCUGUGGAAUGGUCAGGAGGAGAGUCCUGGAAAACCACCAGAGCAGAAUGGAUCAUGGCAGGUCUAAGCAGAAAGCUCUGGCACUCAUGGCAAGCCCUGUGUUUCAGCAAAAGCAAGAGUGACAGAAGUAUUCAACAGGGAGCAAAGAAACCAUGUUAAUGGAAACAAGGAGGUGAAGAAAAUAUCUGACGGUGAAGAUAAUGUUCCUGAAAGAGAAGUAAUAUACUCAGAUGGAGAUCUUCUAUAAAAAGAGAGUGGCAAUGUUAUUAGGUGACCAGGUGGAAGGUGAUAUAUAGACAGGAAGAUUAAUUAGUGCAUUGCGGAUGCAAUGGAGACUCCAUGAAGAGAUUCAUGUCAUCUUUCAAAAACCACUAAAAUGAUUCU